GCUAGUUGGUUCUGUAAAAGGGUUGGAUCCGACGCCUCUCGAAGGCUACUAUAGGCUCUCCUUCUCAACUCCUACUCAAUACGUCCAUGUCGUGCAGAACGGU
rnacentral:ribozyme from 1 species